AUCUUUUAUUUUUCUCCGCGAUACAUGUUUCAUUCUAACUCAGACACAGUUUACAACAGAAGGACAAAAACAAAAACACCCGGUCUUCAGUAAACAAAAACAACUCUGACAUCAUGCUCAGUCCACAACCAGCCCUUGUGUGUGUGUGUGUGUGUGUGUGCGCGCGCGUGUGUGUGUGCGUGCGUACUUCAAAGCUGCUAAUCUACUCGCUACUACGUAAAGCCAUCCUUAUUGAUAUGCUAAACGAAGAAGAAAUGGGCCACACACACACACACACACACACACACACACACACACACACACACACACACACACACACACACACACACACACACCAGGGCUGGUUCCUCGGUGUCCAGCUCUAAAGCUUAAGCAGGAUCCAGAAUUCAAACAUGAUUGACACAUAGUGUCUUCUCAUAGUCUGUUAGUAUAGUGUGUGUGUGUGUGUGUACACGAUUAACAAGUAGUGUCUUCUUAGGUUAGAUAGUGCUGGCUAUUCACAGUGCAACACAGUGUGCAGGUAUAAGCACACACACACACACACACACGUACACACACACUCAUUAAACUUGUGAGAAAGUGAGAUGAGCUGCGUGUGCAGUUAAGGCAAAGUGAAGUAGUCUUUAGGCAGGACAUAAUUCAAGUGUGUGUGUGUGUGUGUGCAUGUGUUAGUGUGUGCACAUAUGUGUGUGUGUGUGUGUGGACAUAAUUCAAGUGUGUGUGUGUGUGCGCGCGCAUGUGUAAGUGUGCGCGCAUGUGUGUAAUUCAAGUUUGAACACAGGAGAUGGACAAGCACACUGAACACAUCCUCUCUCACACACACACACACACACACACACACACACACACAAAGACUCAAAGCCAAAUCCAUGCUGAAUACUCAAACACACACUCUUAAACAGUGCUGUCUGCAAACUCCUUUACAUGGCCUUUAACCUUGACAUAGUACCACCUUUGUGUGUGUGUGUGUGUGUGUGUGUGUGUGUGUGUGUGUGUGUGUGUGAGUGAGUGAGUGAGUGAGAGAGAGAGAGCGAGAGAGAGAGAGUGUGUGUGAGUGUGAGCAAUGUUGCCAUAGCAACGGCCACACCCAUUAGACCCAGGAAGUCAAACUGCGCAGGAAUUCAGUACUGGAGCUUCUCUUCAUAGUGUGUGUGUGAGUGUGAGGGUGGCUAACGGAGGGAAUCACACACACACAAACACACACACACACGCACGCACGCACGCACAAACACACCUUCCUGCUGAUGAAUAAAAAAAGACUUAUACAGACGGAAGUACAAACAAGAACCAACAAAUAACCAAAACAAGAAUCAAAGAAAGACAACAGCUGUGUGUGUGUGUGUGUGAAAGACAACAUCUCUCAGCUGUGUGUGUGUGUGUGUGUGUGUGUGAGAAAGACAACAGCUGUGUGUGUGUGUGUGUGUCUGUGUGUGUGUGUGUGUGUGUGUGAGAAAGACAACAUCUCUCAGCUGUGUGUGUGUGUGUGUGUGUGUGUGGGUUGGGGGGGGGGGGGGGGGGGUGUGUAGACUGUUCAGUGUAGGACUUAAAGCCCUCCACUAA
ensembl:lncRNA